GCAGGCCUAGACAGAUUUAUUCAGCUGCUGGUGGACCACCAUGACGGAUUGGCUGCUUUUGACUUGGUGUGGGUCACAGACUGUGCAAGGAUGGGUUAUAACUUGUUUAAUUCUUUACUAUCUUGCAUUCGUUCUAAAGUUUUACGCUCCUUUAUGUGCUCUUGAAAAUUUUCAAUCUUCCAAAGAGUGUUUCAUCAAAGCAGACAGUUUCACUUCAUGCUUUCUUAUCUCUCUUGCUCAUUUAGUGCCCAAGAGCACCAAGGUUUAAUCUUGCCCCAAAUGGGUUCAUUUUCUUGCUGGCCAUGCUUUUUUAAACCUAGGUGUAGCCACUGGACUUCUGGUUAAUUACUUUUUAAAUGCUGCCAGGUAAAGGGAACAUCUGGCAAAAAUGAGCGUUUGAUGCUUUCAGAUCUCUUUUCUCCUUGUUUGGAAGCUGUGUAGAGAACUUGCUGGAAUUUUAAUUGUUCAGUUUUCCAUAUUCUUGUGCCUGCAAGCAUAUUCAUAUCUGGAAACAAGUUAAAGGUGUGCUAGAAAAUUGUCCCUGGUUUCGUGGGCCCACCUUUGUCCUGUGAAAAUAUUGGUAAAAUUCUACUGGUUUUAACAAAUUUCCAGUAAUUUGUCUUUUGGCAGGCAGCAACGGGUGGGUCUGGAACUUAUCUUACCUAAGAACUGCUCAAGGUGGCUGUGGGUUAUUUCUUUGCUGCCUUCUGGCAAAGAAAUAGAGCUCUUCCUAGUGUCCACCCACCAAAGCCUGGUAAGCACUAACUAGGUUUUGGUAAGGAGCCGCCCUCCCAAUGGUUUUGGGAUCGCCCAUGACCAAGUGAGAAGCCGUGAUGUCUUACGGCAGUGGUUUACAACUAGUUUGCCAUGGCAUCCUGGGGUGCCUUGAAUGAUGGUCAGGGCUGCCGGGGGCAACAUUGGCCUCUAUUCCUCUUCCCUUCCCUUCCCUUCCUUCCUCUGAUGCCUUCUCAUGUCUCUCCCUCCCAAAGGCUUGAACAGCUGUUUGUUGCAGCAACCCUGGCUACAAGCUCUUCAGGCGAAAUGUGCCUCUGGGGCUGGCCAGGGGGUGCUGGUUACCAGGAACUCAUCAUCACCAUCAUCCUCAAACCUUUAUUGGCAUCACUUACAAACAUUCAGAAUAAACAGGCCAAUGCGAUCUCAUUGCCAUUUCAACAGUACAGUCAUUUGCCAAAGGCGAGCAAUCUAUUUCACCUCUGUGGAACUCCAGCAAGGGCAGGGUCCUGUAGCGUACUUCAGUGGCAGAAAAUUAAAUAGAGGAACUUGGUUACUGUCUUGGUGAGCUCCUGGUCUCUCCCCUGUAAUAAGAAGUGUAUAACCUCUGUCUCUGGUUUCCAUGUUGGGAUACAUAGGUGGUCUAAGAAUUGUUGGUGGAGAUCUUCAUAUAUGGCGGAGAUCUUCAUAUAUUUUACCAUUAAGGGCCAUGUGAGCUAGAGUUUCCACCAGGUGGGCAUCACAUGGGCAGAUCCUGUCUCCUUCUGCCAUACCCGCAAACCUACCCCAAAGGAGGUUAGAAGGAUUACAAUUGAACCUAGCCAGUAAAAGCCCUUCUUUCAUGUGGGUUAAACAAAAAUUGUAAAUAACUAAGGUUAAAUUCCUGCGCCCAGAAGAGUUGAAAAUAAAGAGGGGAACAUGUUUCCUGGUGGUCUAUAUCCCACAGCCUAGUUUUUAACAUGGCUUUGGCGAUUGGAAAAGCCACAGCACCCAGGAGAUCCUCUGAAAGCCCAAGUUGCCAUAACUUUGUGCAAAACAGUUGUAGCCCUGGGGAAGGGAAGGGGUGUUGCCAGGAACCGAAGUGGCCUUGGAAUAAGCAAGCAAGUGAGGGAGCCCAGCCAGCCAGCCCACCAACCCUUGCCAAGUGGGAGGUUGGGCAGGCAGGCAGACGCUAUGUUGCCUUUCUUGUGCUUGCUGUGUGCAAUGCCUACCAGGGAAAUGAGUGUCUGGCACUGAAGGGGAGCCUUUUUGCCAUGCUGGUACAGUGGCACCCACUGCUGCCUCCCAAGGUGCAUAAGAUGGUGGCCUCAUGUUCACCUUUGGCCAGUCUCCACUAAGGCUGGGGGCAUCCUCUUCCCAGACUCCUGAGGGGCAGAGUGAGGAGGCACCUCUCUUUGGGGUGGGGGCAGCUCAGAGACCAGGGGGCAGCAGCAGCGGCUGCCCGGAGGACUCCCAAGGAGAGGAGAAAGAAGGCUGAGGGAACACUCCACAAGGGAGGGUCUUCAAAAAGCUGUGAGGGGCUGCCAGCUCUGCAGGCAAGGGGUGACAUAACUGGGCUCCUGAGCCUCACAGGAGUGCCACAGGAAGAAAGUAGUUGAUCAAGGGUGCCGUGGACCCAAAACGGUUGAAAACCUCUGUCUUGGGGGUUUUCAUGAUCGUCCCAGCAUUUUCAAGGGUGCUUAUGCUGAGGACACUCUUGGUGAACGGCAACUUACAGCACAAAAAGUAACAGCCAAUGAUUAGGAUACAUAAUUCUGCACCAAUCUCAUUGCGUUAAGCACACUGCACGUCAGGUAUUUUUGGUGGAAAUUUUAUCUUCUGCCACAGACUAAGACCAGUGGUCUUGAGCAAAUCCGUUGGAGAUGCUCUAGAGCUCUGGGCUGUCUGAAUCAAGCAUGGAGUUGGGACACAUCCACACCAUACUUUAAAAUCCCUCUUAUGCCACUUUAACUGUCAUGGCUUCCCUCAAAGAUUCCUUGGAACUGUAGUUUGUUAAGGGUAUCCUAGCAACUCUCAGUACCAUUAACAAACUACAGUUCUCAACGUUCCCAGGUGGCUUCCAAGGCCCUCUCCAACUAUGUAAUUUAAGUCAUUAGCUUUCAGCCUUUAUAAUGUGAAGAGUGCCUUAUCUCAAAGAGCUAUUGUUAGGGCAGACAGAAAUUAUUGUGACGGAACAUGGUGUCCAUUAAAAAUAAUCUGUUUUGCUUUUUGUGGAGCAAGGCAUAUAGAAAUGAGAAGUAUUACAUAUACGUGAAUAUAUUAUGUCAAUUAGCUUCCUUUUU